GGCUCCUGAAGUUAUAAUCGCAAUAUAAUAUAAUAUCACGACGAGGUCACUUAAACAUACGUCAAAGUCGACGCGGAGAGGUGGAAAAUAGGAGCAGAUCGAAUAUACACGUUCGACUGUCAUCUGCCAGUGACAAAAUCCGGCAGUUUGGGCGCGCUACGUGGCGUUCGUACCCACCGUCGAUUAAUUCAGAAGUAAUCGAACCCGGCUGACUGACCCGGCUUGUCCUUGCUCUUGGCCGCCGGAACGGGAGUCUGCUUCCGCCGUCGUACGCCGGGAAUUUCCGGCGGAGUGAGCGACCGAAUUAAGGCGAAGUUGAGCCCCUUGAAGAACGGAUGCUUCUUGAUGUCGGCGGACCCGCGUUUCGACCCAAGUCUCCGGGUCGGAUCCUUGUUAAGCAAUCCGGAUAUGAGGUCCCGCGCGUGGUGCUCAAGCGCGCCAGACGGCACCGCAGUCGGAAACGUCAACGGCUUCUUUAUAAUGUUCCUUAGCGUCGUCUCGUUGGACGAAGCCGCAAACGGCGUGCGGCCGUAGAUCAACUCGUAGAGAAAUAUUCCAAAGGCCCACCAGUCAACGGCGUUACCGUGGGACCCGCCGGCGGCAACUUCCGGCGAGACGUACUCGUGGGUACCGACGAAAGAGCAGGACCGAGCGGAAACGGGCUCUGCGACAAAGAGCCAGUUGGGGGUCAGAGUUUGGACCUUGCGCGACCGGAAAAGACGGUUGUAGAGGCAGGAAAAAGGAGUUGUGGAGGCGGCGGAAACGGCAGCGUUGGUUCUGGGGUAGGCCGUUGCGUCGGGAAACGCCGUGGUAGGGGAGGAGUUGGG
rnacentral:misc_RNA from 1 species